GCCUGGGACUCAUCUUGAACUCUUGGUCUCAAAGAAAUCCUCCCACUUACAACUCCGAAAGUACUGGGAUUACAGGCAUGAGCCACCAUACCCAGCCAUGUUCAUUAUCUUGAUUGUGUCAGCGGCCUCUUUGGUGUAAAAUCUUCGAAGUUUCUAUUGAUCUAUCUUCAAGUUCCAAGACUUUCUUCAGCCACAUCCAGUCUCCUGACGAGCCCAUUAAAGGCAGUCUUCAUUUCUGUUACAGUGUUUUUGAGCUCUGGCUUUUUUUUAUUUUUUAUUUAUUUUGAGACAGAGUCUUCUUGCUCUGUCGCCAGGCGCCAGGCUGGAGUGCAGUGGCGCGAUCUCGGCUCACUGCAACCUCCACCUCCCGGGUUCAAGCAGUUCUCCUGCCUAAGCCUAAGUAGGAUUACAGGCAAGCACCACCAUGCCCAGCUAGUUUUUUGUAUUUUUAGUAGAGACAAGGUUUCACCAUGUUGGCCAGGAUGAUCUCGAUCUCUUGACCUCGUGAUCCACCUGCCUCGGCUUCCCAAAGUGCUGGGAUUACAGGCGUGAGCCACCGCGCCCGGCCACUCUAGCAUUUUUUAAGUUCUUUCUUAGAAUUUCCAUCUCUGGCCCUGCCUGCCGCACCUCUCCUUUCUUCUGUAUCUCCAGCUGAAGCCGCACGCCCGGCCGGGAUCCCGGCACCAUGAGCUUCGGCUCGGAGCACUACCUGUUCUCCUCCUCCUCCUACCGCAAGGUGUUCAGGGACGGCUCCCGCCUGUCCGCGCGCCCCUCCGGGACCAGCGGCGCGGGCGGCUUCCGAUCGCAGUCCCUGUCCCACAGCAAUGUGGUCUCCUCGACCGCCUGCUCCUCGGCCUCGUCGCUCGGCCUCGGCCUGGGCUAUCUCCGGCCACUGGCAUCCGACGGGCUGGACCUGAGCCAGGCGGUGGCGCGCACCAACGAGUACAAGAUCAUCCGCACUAACAAGAAGGAGCAGCUGCAGGGACUCAACGACCACUUCGCGGUGUUCAUCGAGAAGGUGCAUCAGCGGGAGACGCAGAACCGCGCACUGGAGGCCGGGCUGGCUGCGCUGCGGCAGCGCCACACCGAGCCGAGCCGUCGCGCGCGGUGAGCUCUUCCAGCUCUUCCUGGAGGAGGCGAGCUCGGCGCGCGUGCAGGCCCUGCUGGAGCGCGACGGGCAGGCCGAGGAGGUGCAGCAGCUGCCGGCGCGCUGCGAGGAGGAGAGCCGCGGUCGCGAAGGUGCUGAGCGCGCCCUGAAGGCGCAACAGCGCGACGUGGACGGCGCCACGCUGGUCCGCCUGCAUCUGGAGAAGAAGGUGGAGUCGCUGCUGGACGAGCUGGCCUUCGUGCGCCAGGUGCACGACGAGGAGGUAGCCGAGCUGCUGGCCCCGCUGCAGGCGUCGUCACAGGCCGCGGCCGAGGUGGACGUGGCUGUGGAUAAACCAGACCUGAGCUGGCGCUGAGGGAGAUCCGCGCCCAAUAUGAGUCCCUGGCUGCUAAGAACCUGCAGUCCGCGGAGGAAUGGCAUAAGUCCAAGUUUGCCAACCUGAACGAGCAGGCGGCUCGCGGCUCCCAGGCCAUUCGAGCCAGCCGCGAGGAGAUCCGAGAAUACCGGCGCCAGCUGCAGGGGCGCACCAUCGAGAUCGAGGGCCUGCGCGGGGCCAGCGAGUCCUUGGAGAGGCAGAUCCUGGAACUGGAGGAGCGUCACAAUGCCAAGGUGGCUGGCUACCAGGAUAGCAUUGGGCAGCUAGAGAAUGAUCUGAGGAACACCAAGAGUGAGAUGGCACGCCACCUUCGGGAAUACCAGGACUUGCUCAAUGUCAAAACGGCUCUUGACAUUGAGAUAGCAGCUUACAGGAAACUGCUGGAAGGCGAAGAGACACAUUUUAGCACCAGUGGGUUGAGCAUUUCGGGGCUGAAUCCACUUCCCAAUCCAAGUUAUCUGCUCCCAUCUAGAAUCCUCAGUUCAACCUCCAAAGUCUUAUCCACUAGGCUAUCACUUAAGAAAGAGGAAGAGGAGGAGGCAUCUAAGGUAGCCUCUAAGAAAACCUCCCAGACGGGAAAGUUUUGAAGAAAUAUUAGAGGAGACGGUAAUAUCUACUAAGAAAACCGAGAAAUCAGAUAUUGAAGAAACCACCAUUUCGAGCCAAAAAAUAUAAUUCCAUUGCUUUGAAAGAGCUAAUGCUUAAGAGGGAAUGAUAUGCAUUUGACUUGUUAAACAGCCUGUUCCUGAACCAUAACACCUGCCACGCCACUAUGAAAUGUCUUCAAGGCUUCAGUCUCAUAUUUAGUAUUGAAUACUUACAUUCUCUAAUAAGAAAACCACCCCUUAGGUUGAAGUAAACUGCGGUUCUGGAGCCAUCACAGAAGAGUUAUCUAAGAAUACAGCUUCCUGACCUUCAGCUCGCGCUUCACGGUGAUUGAUGAUUCAGGUGCAGAGGAAGUACAAACUAAGGCGCUAAAUCUGUGACCAUCGUCAUUUGCUGCGAACUGAAACUGUUCACACUACCCAGCCAUUAUCCAGCUAAAUAAUCUUACUCUAUACCUAAAACGUAAGAUCACUGCCAAAGACAAGCUAAUGGUCCACACCCAGCUCCUCUCUGAUAGAACUGUUUCACAAACAAUAGGUGUUUGUUUAACGGACACUUUCCGCCUCCCUCAGUUCCAUAUAUCCUUUUCUUCCAUGCAGGAAAAAAAAAAAGUCUAGUGUAGUAUUCUUCCCUUUUAAACACGUUUUGGUUCUUCUCAAAAGAACUUGCCCCUGUUAGCUCUCUUUGCUCAGUGGGUAAAAUUAGAUGCAUGUUGACCAUGUCUAUGAUUCGGGUAAUGACUCCUCCCUGCCCAUUUCAUAUUCUUUCAAUCCUGUAGGUUAAAAAAAAAUGGCAGUCAUGAAUUUUAAGGUUUCCCCCAACAAAUAAAAUAAUGAAAAGAAUCCCUAGACUUUAGGCUUUCAGCUUAUACAAAUCCAUUUAAUUAGGAGAAAAAAACUAUUAAGGAUGUAGCUUUUCACCUUUACUUUAGAAGCUCAGUAAAUCGUUAUUCCAAGCUGUGAUUAAGCUGAACUUAGAUUUAGUAGUAUAAGCUAGAAGAAGUGAGUGUUUCUAUGUGUGGAAAAAGCCAAGGUGUCAUUUAUGUGUCAGUUCAUUUGUGGUGAUAUAGAAUUAGCUUUUUCAUGCCCUUACCCUUAGAAUCCACUCAUUGCCUUUCCCACUAGUCUAGGUCCUAAAGAGACCUUGCUUUCACUCUCAUAUGCCCUUUACAAGUACUAAGUAUAGGAUAUUUUGUCACCAGAACACAAUGCUAUUGCCCCAAGGUAAAAGAAACCACUUCUGGUCGAUCAAUACCACCAGCAAAUAUAAAAAAGAAAUCUUUCUCCUUUCUAAAAGACUUCCCCAACAUCUACCCCACGGCUGCACAGUUGGUGGGGUCCUGCUGGAGACGAAGAGACACU